UGUUUAUGGGUUAAUAGAAUGAACAGCUCUUCUUGCCAGCUGGCCUCCUGCAGUCCGGACUCUGCCCCACAGUUCUUGGAUCUCUAAGAGGGUGACCUAUCUGGAGCUUCCCCUAACCAAAAUCCAGAGUGACUCUCAUGGAUGGCUGUGGGCGGGCGACUCCGGUUUCUGUGUGGUCAGAUGGAAUUUGCCUAAAAGCUACCCGACCCUGAUUAUUCUUCCCAAUGUCUGACACCUUGAAAUGGCACAUGGCUUAAGGUGUGCACCCAGGUGGGUGCUGUGAGAGAAUUCUGUCCAGGAAAGAGAAUGCUCUGGUCCAUAAUCAACUUCUAGAAAACCAUGAUGCCUUUAUCAAGAAGGUGGAUACCCUCAUGGAAGCAAAAUCAGUCUCCUGAAAGAACUCCAAAAACAAGAAAUUCAUCUGGAAGAAUCAACCGCUUUUACUAUUCUGACCAUUAUUGUGAACCAUGACACAUGCUUUCAACGGAACUCGCCCAUCUCACAAACAUGAUUUCGCUCCUAGACUGUUCUUCAGGUUUCCAUCUACAGCCAUCUGUGACUGGCCCUUAUCUGGAAGGCGAGAGCUGACCUACUUCACCCAGAAAGUGGCUGUGGCUUCAGACCAGGACCGGGGUCAGGUGUGUGAGAUGCUCACCUCGGGUGCAAAAUGUAAAGGGGCAAAAAGUCAUCCAGAUAAAUGAUAUUUUGAUGCAAUAUUUUUAAAAAUUAAAUGAAUUUUUUAAAAAGCAUCACAAAUAAAAUAUUACUAUUUUAAAUACAGACAGUCUCUGACUGCGUCAUGCCCAACCACAUUGGAGCCUGAGGCAAAAGG
rnacentral:lncRNA from 1 species